rfam:Gossypium hirsutum cultivar TM-1 chromosome 11, whole genome shotgun sequence
AACCCAUGGUAAGGGCACGUUCGUAAUAAAUCCUUGUAUCUCUCUCAUGCAUCAUGAAGAGUUUCUAGAUCCAUCUGCACAAAAGAAGAGAUAUCAUUCCUCAAUUU